rnacentral:misc_RNA from 1 species
ACGCGUGGACCGAGACGGUCCCGUAUCGUUCGCCUUAGGCGGUGCCGUACUCCUCGUGAGCACGGACCAGCGGCGGUUGGACCGGAGCCACAAGGCGGCAGCGGAAGGUGAGUCGGCGUGGGUUCGUCCCUUGUUGACAGCUUAUAGCCCUGCCGUUCGGUGCUCCGGCGCGACCGAGGAAGAAGGGCAGCCCUUGCCCGUUGUGGUGCACGCCGUAUGGCGGGGCCUCCCGAUCCGAGUGAGCCGUGCGGUGUGGACUGCGUGCAGUGCUAAUCGUGGCGGCGAUCUCGGGUAGGAGAGUGUCACUUGUGCGCCAGUGCUGCUGGUAUUCAGAC